rnacentral:tRNA from 1 species
GAGGCCUUAGCUUAAUUAAAGCGUUUGAGUUGCAAUCAGAAGAUGUAAAUUAAGGUUUUACAUGCCUUA